rnacentral:misc_RNA from 1 species
AAAACCCUCAAGCACUGCUUGGUGUUGGGCGCCUUGUCCCGCCCCCCUUCGGGGGCGCGGACUCGCCUCAAAAGCAUUGGCGGCCCGCGUGAUCGGCUUCGAGCGCAGCAGACCCGCGCCUCGCAAGACCCCCCCGCGCGGGCGUCCAAGAAGACACACCCCCCAAGU